rnacentral:rRNA from 1 species
UANGGGGCAAGCGUUAUCCGGAUUUACUGGGUGUNAAGGGAGCGUAUACGGACUGCAAGUCUGAAGUGAAAGCCCGGGGCUUAACCCCGGNACUGCUUUGGAAACUGUAGAACUAGAGUGCANGAGAGGUAAGUGGAAUUCCUANUGUACCGGUGAAAUGCGUAGAUAUUACGANGAACACCAUUGGCGAANGCNGCUUACUGGACUGUAACUGACGUUGAGGCUCGNAAGCGUGNNGAGCAAACAGGAUUAGAUACCCUGGUAGUCCACGCCGUACACGAUGAUUACUAGGUGUUGGUGGGUAUGACCCAUCGGUGCCGCAGCACACGCNUUAANUAAUCCACCUGGGGAGU